rnacentral:rRNA from 1 species
GAGUUUGAUCCUGGCUCAGGACGAACGCUGGCGGCGUGCUUAACACAUGCAAGUCGAACGSUGAAGCCCAGCUUGCUGGGUGGAUGAGUGGCGAACGGGUGAGUAACACGUGAGUAACCUGCCCUCUUCUUUGGGAUAACGCCCGGAAACGGGUGCUAAUACUGGAUAUUCACUGGCCUUCGCAUGGGGGUUGGUGGAAAGGUUUUUUCUGGUGGGGGAUGGGCUCGCGGCCUAUCAGCUUGUUGGUGGGGUGAUGGCCUACCAAGGCUUUGACGGGUAGCCGGCCUGAGAGGGUGACCGGUCACAUUGGGACUGAGAUACGGCCCASACUCCUACGGGAGGCAGCAGUGGGGAAUAUUGCACAAUGGGCGAAAGCCUGAUGCASCGACGCCSCGUGAGGGAUGGAGGCCUUCGGGUUGUAAACCUCUUUCGCUCAUGGUCAARCCSCAACUGUGGGUUGUGGUGAGGGUAGUGGGUAA